rnacentral:lncRNA from 1 species
GCUGGCAGCACGAGGGGCUGCAUAUCCACCCUGUGGACUCCUCCUCACCCUGCCACAGUGCCCUCUGGUCUUCUACAGAAGGACGCCACAGACGUGCAUCUCCCCACUGUCCCUUUGACUGUUUGGGACCAUGCUGUCCAAAAUUUAACACACAAUUGAGCUCUUUUCCUGUCUCCUCAAAUUCUGACUCUGCAUCCUAGAUCUGGCCAGCGUUUCUCUCCCCUGCAGGUAAGGAUGCUCUGGCUGACUAACGUUCUCUUUUCGGAUUCAAUUGGACAUGGUUCUCCAGUGCUUCUUGGCUCUAAUUACGGCGGAAUGUGCCUGUGAGUUGUCCAACAGCUGCCACAUCCUUGUUAAGACAUUAAUGAGAGAAGAUCUUGUGAGAAUUGAAGGAAAAUAGAAAAAAAAUAUUGCAGUUGCAAGAGAAGAAUGAUGCCUGCUCCGUGGGAAUAGUCAAGCCAUGAAAAACCAGCCACCUCAUUUCUUCCCCAGAAGACCAUAAGCACAUGGCAUCUCACUUUGAGGGGCAAAUUCUGAGUUUGGCACUUUAUUUAUAUUUUAUUAAUGUAAACAAUAACAAAACACGUUCAAUCACAAGCACUCUACUCAGCCAGCUUUAUGUCUACCUCUGAAUCGAGGCACUUCUGAGAUGCUUCUCAGUGUUAGGGAAUGCUGGCCUGGAAGGCUUAGGAGCCAACUGGCAAGCUCAUUAGAGGACCAAGAAUUGCAUCAUAAAACAGUGGGACCAAAUGUGUGGGCAGUUAUUUUAAAACAUUAUAAAAACCCACCACUGUGUAUUUUUCUAUGAAUUGUUGACAAAUGUGCUUAGUAAUAGGAUAAGUGAAGAAAAAUGAAUGAAUUAGUUGAGAUUUACUUACAUUUUAACAUUAAUAAUAAAAUACAUGAUGUUAGAUGAAUAAAAUAAUCAAUAUAGACACCUUUAUAUAGACAUCCUUAUCCCAGAACUCUUUGUAAAGGACAUGUAAUGAUCAUAACCAUAACAGCAGCAGCAACUCAACAACAAGAGUGGCCCCACAGGUUCAUGGAGAACGUGGGCCACACAGACACUAUGCUUGACCCAUGAACGCGAUUGCAUUCAACCUCUCCUUAGGAGAGACUUGGCUACCAGAUCACGGAACUGUUAAAGAUGUAGAGGCCCCCUGGAUGGGGUCAACUGGAUGUGUCAUUUUUCUGUUUAAUUUCUAGGAUGGAGUCCUAAUGCCUUUGAAAUAAGACGUAAUUAUGUGAACAUCAUAUAAGAAAUUUAUACCUAUGAUGACGUCUUACUCUAUGUGUCUAAGACAAAAAAAUUAUGUCUGCUCUUAUUCUUCCUACCACAUAGCUCUGUGUUUAUUGCUUCCUGAAAAUUAAUGUUUUUAUUGAUCACUCUUAAAAAAAAAAAAACAGGGUGAGAGGAAACUACUAAGUUGAUUAAACUGGUAACCAGUUCUGCGAUUUCUUCACCAGCCUGCUUUAUCAUGAUGAUAAGACUUUGGUCUUAUUUUCCAAAUAUCUGUAAUGCCUCAAAAUGAACCAAUGAUGUUUUAACCCAAUAACUCAGCUUUUUUUUUCUUAAAGAAUCUUGCUGAGUCACUUUCCUAAUACCAUUCUCCAGUCAUGGAAGUCAGCCAGCUUUGUAAUACUGUCUUACAGAUGCUCUUCAACUUUUAUUGGUCACGAUUUGUUUCCCUAAGAUUUGUAUGCCUUUCAAAUCUUCAAAGUUAGUGAAGCUUUCUUCAGCCAGGAUUCAUCUGUUUAUAGAGCAGAGUGGGUGGCUUUUGGAAAAUACUUGACAUGUUAUAAUAUUGGGCUGAGGAGUCACACGCCACUAUCCAAGUUGUCAUUGAAUGUGCAUUUCCUCUUGGGAAUGGAGUCCUUAAAACUUUGAGUCCUUUACCAAUAGCAAAAAUUAGCAUCCCUUAACAUUUUCACCUGCCUUAACAUUGUGGCCUCUGUUCUGCAGACUUCAGCUAUUAAGUCAGUUUAUUUUUCCCCGACAUUAUAAGCUACACGCUUCCCACUCACUUCUAUCCUGUCUAGCAAACACACUAGUCUUUUCGGUUACUACUUUAAAUCACAAUGAAAACUAUGGUUGUGUAUUCACAUGCAACUAUGGCGUGUGAGUUGAUCCCAUCCUCUGAGCCCAAUCUGUGUGAAGGAAAAUGUUUCUCAUUAGGAAACCACUUCGUUGUGAUCCUUUGGAACCAUUUCUAGCUUGUACAAAUUAUUCAAAAUAGACAUCUUUCCUUUCCCUGGACUCCACCCCGGCCUUGUCUAGCUUUCUGGUGCUUCCAGAAGUUAAACAAGCAGAUGUUAUAAACAAAAACAAACAAACAAACAAAAAGCAAAACAAACAAAAAAAUAAAAAAUAAAAAACAUGAAAGACAAAAACAAAAAGAAAACCACUACCAUGAAUAAAUUUCAUCUUCUGUGCAUUUCUGUUAAAAUUUAUAAAUUUUAUAUUCUCCAUUAAAUCUGUGAAGAUAAUACCCAACUAUGUAAACACAUUGAUAUUCGUGGAUUUUAAAGAAAAUUCUAACAGUACUGACUACUUAAAGUACAGACUUAAAACUGUAAAAUUAUCCUGACACUUGAGGCUAAAGAACAUCUUAGUAAGUGAUUUGCUGUGUCUGUUAACAUUUUGUGAAAAUUUGUAGAUGUGUACACUAUGUUUGGGUUUGAAGCACUUUCUCACCUCUAACUUUUUUCCUUCUUCACCCCCUUAAUCACAGACACAGGAAUGCAGCUGCCCUGUGUGUGUCUCCUUCAUCCUGCUGGGGACAGGCACGGGCAAGGAGAGCUCAGGGGUAACACACGGGCAUAAUUGGGGUCUGAUGAAAUAGGCUAAUCAUGGAUCCACUAAGCAAAUAUUAAUUUUCAUUGGAAGCCCUGCCAUUUUGUGAACUUAUAAGAAAUAAACAGAAGUAUUGUUAGCCUCAGGAUGUAUCUCUUUUCUUUAAGAAAAAAGAAACCCAUUGAUAAAUGUCUCUGAAAGGCUAACUCUCACCACUUCAUGCUCUUCUAAUGCUUCUGCACUGUCCUAUGUGAGGCUUGAGUGAUGUGGGUGUGCCACUGAAGGGCCGUGGGUAGGAGCGGUGUGUUUUCUGAACACCUGUUACACCUUUAUUACCCAGUUCUAUGAAAACAUGUAUAACAUAGAAGCAAAGCACUCAUGCUAAAGAUCGCUUCUGCUGAUCCUUGCUGCCAAGAUCUCCCUUACGGUCCUCAGCGUCUCUUCCCUUGACCAGGUUCUUCCUGUCUUCUUGGGCUGCUUUCUCUGUAUUAUUUUUCUCUUCUUCUUCCAGCUUAUGGAAACCAUUCCUACCACAAUUUUCUCUUCUAAAUUUGGUUUGAUAAAACCAAAUACUUUUCAUUGUUUCACCUGCAGUGAUCUUUUUCUUAGACUUUUGCAUUUUGCAUUCUUUUAGUUUUAGUAUCUGUACUGGCAUUUCUUAUAUAGAGGUCCUGUUCACACCAUGCCCACAUUCUACAGUGGAUUAUACACUUUGAAUAUCAAGCUCCAGCUAUAUGAGGUAGUUUGGGAUUAUUGAAAGGACACCAAGAGGCAGAAUGGCCAUGUAAGUUAUUGUUCAAGUCAGGAUACUUUUGAGAGUUAAAAAAGGCAAGUUAACAACAUCACACCACGGAUGUAACUGGGACAAUUCCAGCCAAGAACUGAGAUGGUCCUUUCUUUCCUCCUCUCCCACCCCAUUCUCCUCCUUGUCCUCCUUCUUCUUCCUCCUCUUCCCCAUCCUCCUCUACUGCCUGUUCAUAGGGGAAAUAUACGUCUGUCUGUCUGUCUAUCUAUCUAUCUAUCUAUCUUUCUAUCUAUUAUCUAUCCAUCUCCCAAAUGCAAACACUGAAUCACUAGUCAAUAAGUCUCAUUAUAAAUGUUUGAUGCUAGCCCAAUGCUGGGCUCACUUUCUAAACUCCUAGGUAAUUCCACAACAGAAAGAAAUAAGAUUUCAGGUAUUAUUUUAUGUUUCUUAUAAUAUUAUCAGUAUAGGAUACUAGUUAAACUGUGGAGACACAGAGACAAAUGGAGACUAGUCUGAAUAACCUGGAGACAGUCCUCUCUCACAGCAAAGUAAAAUCUGGUUUGGUGGUUCUGCUUUGCAAAGUUAUGACGGGCUCAAGCUCUUCCUACCUUUUUGCCUCACUCUCCUGACCUGUUGUCCUCUCCACAUAGCCCCAGAUGACUCACCAUCAUAUCCACAUUCUAGCCAGUGGGAAGGGGAAAUGGAGUUGGUAAAAGCAUGUUCCUCUUUCUCUUGUGCACUGCAACUCUGCACAGUCCAUCUGUUCUUACCCCAUUGGCCAGAAUGCAGUCACCUUGCUUCUACUGGCUGCAAGGAAGGAUGGGGAUUGUAGUUUUUCCCAUGAGAACUCAUAUACCCAGACUAAAAUUGGUAACUGUAUUAUCAAGAGAGAGUGGGAGCAACUUGGGGACAUUGACAGUUUCUGUCACACUUAGCAAUAUGAUGUACUCAUAGAGGGAUACACAAUUCUUGCUGUUGUUGCCUAUUGAUAACUUCACUGUGUAUUUUCUGGUCUUCAGUUUACCAUAUUGUGAUAUAUACUGUGUACAUGUAUAGGGACUUCAUUACUUUCACUCAAAAGCUCCAAUAAAGAAUCAUGCAGUCUAGGUGCAGUGGCUCACACUUGUAAUCCCAACACUUUGGGAGGUCAAGGCAGGAGGAUCGCUUGAGGCCAGGAG